rnacentral:rRNA from 1 species
GGAGUUAGUCGGUGCUUCUUCUGUGAGUGAUGUCCUUCCUGCCGGCUAUUAACCCGCAGGCCUUCUUCCUCACUGAAAGUGCUUUACAACCCGAAGGCCUUCUUCACACACGCGGCAUGGCUGGAUCAGGGUUGCCCACAUUGUCCAAUAUUCCCCACUGCUGCCUCCCGUAGGAGUCUGGGCCGUGUCUCAGUCCCAGUGUGGCUGAUCAUCCUCUCAGACCAGCUACGGAUCGUCGCCUUGGUGAGCCGUUACCUCACCAACCAGCUAAUCCGACAUAGGCUCAUCCGAUAGCGCGAGGCCCGAAGGUCCCCCGCUUUCCCCCGUAGGGCGUAUGCGGUAUUAGCCUGGGUUUCCCCCAGGUUAUCCCCCGACUACCGGGCAGAUUCCUAUGCAUUACUCACCCGUCCGCCGCUCGCCACCAGGGAGCAAGCUCCCCGUGCUGCCGCUCGACUUGCAUGUGUUAGGCCUGCCGCCAGCGUUCAAUCUGAGCCAGNGACACAACUCAGACUGACGGCGGUCGUCGACGACGGCG